AUCUGUAAGAGAAAGUAAAUGA
rnacentral:miRNA from 1 species